GACGAACGCUGGCGGCGUGCUUAACACAUGCAAGUCGAACGGAGAAGCUCCAGCCUGCUGGAGUGGACCAGUGGCGAACGGGUGAGUAACACGCGAGCAACCUGUCCCUGACUCUGGAAUAUGCGCUGGAAACGGCGGCUAAUAUUGGAUAUGAGAAGGUUCAGCAUGGGCACCUUUUGGAAAGGACGUCGGUUGGGGAUGGGCUCGCGGCGUACUAGCUUGGUGGUGAGGUAAUGGCUUACCAAGGCGACGAGGGGUAGCCGACCUGAGAGGGCGAUCGGCCACACUGGAACGGAGACACGGUCCAGACUCCUACGGGAGGCAGCAGUAGGGAAUCUUCCGCAAUGGGCGAAAGCGUGACGGAGCAACGCCGCGUGAGUGAUGAAGGUCUUCGGAUCGUAAAACUCUGUUAUUAGGGAAGAACAAAUGUGUAAGUAACUAUGCACGUCUUGACGGUACCUAAUCAGAAAGCCACGGCUAACUACGUG
rnacentral:rRNA from 1 species